UACGUAGGGUGCAAGCGUUAAUCGGAAUUACUGGGCGUAAAGCGUGCGCAGGCGGUUUUGUAAGUCUGACGUGAAAUCCCCGGGCUCAACCAGGGAAUUGCGUUGGAGACUGCAAGGCUAGAAUCUGGCAGAGGGGGGUAGAAUUCCACGUGUAGCAGUGAAAUGCGUAGAGAUGUGGAGGAACACCGAUGGCGAAGGCAGCCCCCUGGGUCAAGAUUGACGCUCAUGCACGAAAGCGUGGGGAGCGAACAGG
rnacentral:rRNA from 1 species